rnacentral:rRNA from 1 species
GAUGAACGCUGGCGGUAUGCUUAACACAUGCAAGUCGAACGGACUCUUCGGAGUUAGUGGCGGACGGGUGAGUAACGCGUGAGAAUCUGGCUUUGGGUUCGGGACAACCACUGGAAACGGUGGCUAAUACCGGAUGUGCCGAGAGGUAAAAGAGAAAUUGCCUGAAGAUGAGCUCGCGUCUGAUUAGCUAGUUGGUGAGGUAAAGGCUCACCAAGGCAGCGAUCAGUAGCAGGUCUGAGAGGAUGACCAGCCACACUGGGACUGAGACACGGCCCAGACUCCUACGGGAGGCAGCAGUGGGGAAUUUUCCGCAAUGGGCGAAAGCCUGACGGAGCAAUACCGCGUGAGGGAAGAAGGCUCUUGGGUUGUAAACCUCUUUUCUUAGGGAAGAACAAAAUGACGGUACCUAAGGAAUCAGCAUCGGCUAACUCCGUG